UACGUAGGCACCAAGCGUUGUCCGGAUUUAUUGGGCGUAAAGAGCUCGUAGGCGGUUCGGUAAGUCGGGUGUGAAAUCCCUCGGCUCAACUGAGGAAGUGCAUCCGAAACUGGCAGGCUUGAGUACUAAAGAGGGUCGCGGAAUUCCCGGUGUAGAGGUGAAAUUCGUAGAUAUCGGGAGGAAUACCAGUGGCGAAGGCGGCUGCCUGGCCUGUUCUUGACGCUGAGGCGCGAAAGCUGGGGGAGCAAACGGG
rnacentral:rRNA from 1 species